rnacentral:rRNA from 1 species
CACGAAGUUAGCCGGGGCUUCUUCUGCAGGUACCGUCAUUAUCUUCCCUGCUGAAAGAAUUUUACAAUCCUAAGACCUUCAUCAUUCACGCGGCAUGGCUGCGUCAGGCUUUCGCCCAUUGCGCAAGAUUCCCCACUGCUGCCUCCCGUAGGAGUCUGGGCCGUGUCUCAGUCCCAGUGUGGCUGAUCAUCCUCUCAGACCAGCUAUGGAUCGUAGCCUUGGUGGGCCUUUACCCCACCAACUAGCUAAUCCAACGCGGGCCGCUCCAAUGGCGAUAAAUCUUUCCCCCGAAGGGCACAUCCGGUAUUAGCUCAAGUUUCCCUGAGUUGUUCCGAACCAAAGGGCACGUUCCCACGCGUUACUCACCCGUCCGCCACUAUCCCGAAGGAUCGUUCGACUUGCAUGUGUUAGGCCUGCCGCCAGCGUUCGCUCUGAGCCAGGAUCAAACUCU